GAUGAACGCUGGCGGCGUGCCUAACACAUGCAAGUCGAGCGCGAUUAAGUGGAGUGAGGACUUCGGUCUAAGUGAAGCUUAUGAAAGCGGCGGACGGGUGAGUAACGCGUGGGUAACCUGCCCCAUACAAAGGGAUAGCCACUGGAAACGGUGAUUAAUACCUUAUAAGUCGGUAGUCUCGCAUGAGACAGCCGACAAAGAUUUAUCGGUAUGGGAUGGACCCGCGUCUGAUUAGCUAGUUGGUGAGGUAACGGCUCACCAAGGCGACGAUCAGUAGCCGACCUGAGAGGGUGAUCGGCCACACUGGAACUGAGACACGGUCCAGACUCCUACGGGAGGCAGCAGUGGGGAAUAUUGCACAAUGGGCGCAAGCCUGAUGCAGCAACGCCGCGUGAGUGAUGAAGGCUUUCGGGUCGUAAAACUCUGUCCUAUGGGAAGAAAAAAAUAGACGGUACCAUAGGAGGAAGCCCCGGCAACUACGUGCCAGCAGCCG
rnacentral:rRNA from 1 species